CUCAGACACCUUUCACAAUGGAUCGUCCGGCACGUACCUGCCGGUGAAGGGAUAAGGUA
rfam:Arcanobacterium haemolyticum DSM 20595, complete genome.